GGAGAUCAAAGGUCAGAGACACUGACUGCUAAUGGAAGAACUGCUACUUGAAAAGCACUAUCCGUCCAUUUUCUCAUCAGAUCCUCAACAACUCUACAAGUGAGAGCUGGUAUCUGCUCGGAGAAUCAGGUCAUGCAGACCCUGGACAAGCUCUAUUUAUUCCAGAGGAAGGAAGCAGAGGAAGAUUGCAUGGUGAAGUUGGAUUGCUGAGGCAAAUGAUUCUCUGUCACACGACCUGGAACAAAGGUUUGGGCCAGAAAUGGCCUAGGGAAUGGUAAAGCUGUC
rnacentral:lncRNA from 1 species